ensembl:snoRNA
AUCCUUUUGUUGUUCAAGAGUGUAAUGAUAGGGCGUUCACAUGCAUGCAUCAGAUGUGCCACCCUCAAACCUCGUUAGGAUGUUGGCACAUUACCUGUCUGACA